rnacentral:rRNA from 1 species
CCUACGGGUGGCAGCAGUGGGGAAUUUUGGACAAUGGGCGCAAGCCUGAUCCAGCUAUUCCGCGUGUGGGAUGAAGGCCCUCGGGUUGUAAACCACUUUUGUAGAGAACGAAAAGACACCUUCGAAUAAAGGGUGUUGCUGACGGUACUCUAAGAAUAAGCACCGGCUAACUACGUGCCAGCAGCCGCGGUAAUACGUAGGGUGCAAGCGUUAAUCGGAAUUACUGGGCGUAAAGGGUGCGCAGGCGGUUGAGUAAGACAGAUGUGAAAUCCCCGAGCUUAACUCGGGAAUGGCAUAUGUGACUGCUCGACUAGAGUGUGUCAGAGGGAGGUGGAAUUCCACGUGUAACAGUGUUACGCUUAGAGAGGCUCAUGAGAUCUGAUUCACAGAGCAUAUUAAAGGCCUAGAUCUGAGAUUCCAAACCGAAAAUAAAGGUAACAAUCUUGUUACUAAUAGCAAGGAUAU